rnacentral:rRNA from 1 species
UACAGAGGUCCCAAGCGUUGUUCGGAUUCACUGGGCGUAAAGGGUGCGUAGGUGGUGAGGUAAGUCGGAUGUGAAAUCUCCAAGCUCAACUUGGAAACUGCAUUGGAAACUACCUUGCUAGAGGAUUUGAGGGGGGAUUGGAAUACUUGGUGUAGCAGUGAAAUGCGUGGAUAUCGUGAGGAAGACCAGUGGCGAAGGCGGGUCUCUGGACAGUUCCUGACACUGAGGCACGAAGGCCAGGGGAGCAAACGGG